rnacentral:sRNA from 1 species
GGCCAAUGAGAAGAUCCUGGAGGGCUCAGGUGUAUCAGGAUGGGCCCGUCUAAGUUGACGGCAAGUUUUAUCUUUACGGGGUCCAAUAAAGCUGAACACAGUUCAUAUUUUCGGCCGGAAAACUAAGCCCUGCCAUGGUCCAAAAGGUUACGCGAGUUUAAAAAUAUGAUGUACUUACUGUGCAUGGACACAGACUCCAGUGGACAUUACAAUAUCUGAACCCUGGCUCCUUCAAAAAAAAAUUAUGAGGUACAAAAAUAGUAACGAGUAUGUUUUUAGCCUUAUGUACUAUUGUGUCUUAUUUUACGCGGAUAUUCGCCUGCUGUUCACUAUAGGUUUUGAUAAGAGUGUUCUUGCUCGCGCUGAAUAAACUAAAUCCUUGAACGCCUUCUUUUUAUAUCCGAUUGAAGCUCUAUAAAAAUAGAUCAAUGACAACCGCGGUAAACCCAGCCCGGCGAUUUCGAAUUAUUAUCCGCCAUAACCUUAAUAGGAACGCUUUUGGGAAGAUCAUCCGGGAGCUAAUUUUGCCCAGCACUGGUGCAGAAGCUUGGGUAUUGGGGCCAGGAGAGUAGGAAUGGGAAAUGCGGGACACCUGUGCAGUUGGUUGGGGGUCUGCCACCGCGAACUGCGUUUACAGAUGCUGGGAUAGGUAGGACGAAGGGGAAUUUUUGAAAAUGUGGAGGUGGUAAGGUGGGAGGGGAGGAAUGGGGACGAGAUGCCGAAUAACCGCGAGGAAAAUUUUUUCAUUAUCAUGCAGUGGCUAGCGAGCAGGUUGAGGAGUACCGAGUGGUGUGCCAGAAGGGAGCGUGGAAAUUAGCUGAGCUGUUGCUAGUAUCCCUUGGUUUGCUUGUGGAAUAUUGAAAUAUGGUGGUCUAUAAAUUGGUUGUACUUCUCGCUUCUUGUAGGAGGAACAACUACAAUGGGUCACAAAAGGAAAUUAUUAUUUUACAUAUGAGAGAGCUUGACGGGCUUUGCUGACUUGUUGCCUGGCUUCGGUUUCAGGAGCUGCUUCGGGAACCCGUCCGCCCUCGUGAAUGACGGUGCGCAAUCCCUCUUCAGUGUCCUUCAAUGCGCGGCGGCCUUCCUCGCGGACCUCGCAUUCCCACAGGCUGCGUGCAGCAUCCCAUCCCUUCUGUUGCCGGCGUAGCGAAAUGAAGAGGCCAAUUGUUGCAAUUGUGCCGGCUUCGUAUACAGACGCACUGGAUGUGGAAAUGUAUACCAAAGAAGACAGUGCGGCACUGAGUGAUGUUGUUGACAAGCUGAAGAAGACAAGAUUUUGUGCGACGGCAUGUAAGGAGGGUACGCUGGAGGUUGUAAGACGGCCCCGAAUGUCUGGGAUUUGGGAUGGCCAAGGCUUCUCAGGGGACACCGAAGACGAAUCCCCAGUAUGGGGUACCCUGAUAUCCGGAGACUCCUGAAUUUUGGCUGUAGUAUAUGUAUUGUUUUUCAAUAGCCCUGCCUGAUGAAUUUUCCCACCAAUCCAGAUCACCUCUUUCUCCGCCUCUGGAAGCCAUUUCGUCCUUAAUAUCCGGGAGGUGACCAUUCCCACGUCAUCCACAUGCCAAAACAGCUUCCACCAAGCUAGAUCCCGCCACGGUUUGCUUGCAAAUCCGUCGUUGAGCGAGUCGCGAAGUUCUGUAUGUGCACGUUCAGCCCACGUUGUGACUGUCCUGUCCAAAUCCAGUCGUACUUCUUCUGGAACGUUCCUGGCUUGCUGCACCAGUAUCUUUUUGUUUUCUUCAGCACUAAUGCUUUCUUCAACCCCAUCGAGCAAUGACCCAACAAGUUCCUUAAUUGACGGAUCUAGAGCGG